CUCACACACGCAUGCGCGCGUACAUCAGGAGUGCGAACGUACACAUCAUCACGCGUAGAGAGAGCAACGAAAACGAUGAGAGGCUGACAGGUGGGCUAUGAUUGGUUCUUUUUUUUUCAUUAUUUUCAGUACCUCUAUUUUUCUUCCGCUCAUGAGUCAUGAACACUCACGCAGCCCUUGUACAAUUUAAAUUAAAACUCAUAGAAUGUGACUACUUCUGAACUUUUUUUUUGAACAACAUACUUCUUUGAAUUGCUAGUAAAAUACUUUUCAUAGACUAUGGAAAAAUAGCCGCUCCUAAUUCCUAAUUUGAUUGUUUGUAAUAUAAGAAAUUAUUUGUAUGGGAACAUUUUGAGUUUGAAUGUUGGAAAUGCGAGACAUGAGUAUCAUCUCCUAUCCAAAUAGUAGAAACGACCACCCCAUCCCCCUACAACCAAGAGUAUGUCUAAUUGUCUAUACGGCAAAUGGGUAAUUUAAGGGUAACCAUCACAAGAUCUUUUUGACCCUUAGAUAUAAGGUCUAGAUCAAAUCUCUCUCUCUCUCGCCACCUUAUCUUCUUUCUUUCUUCUUCGUCCUCCACCCAAUGCUAACCUCGACCUGGAUCUCACAUGUCACAUCACUUGUCCCUCCCCCCGCCUUUGCCUUAGCGCCUGGCUCCAGUGGCUCUUUGAACGUUGGAUCCGUUGCCUAUCAGGCCCAGUCCUAAAUCCAUGAGAUGUGCCUCCUUUUCACCGUCUUCUUCAUCUUCAUUUAAGCUUCCCCGCCGCCUCUUCCGACCGUCGCCGCAGCCAUGCCAACUUGAUGGUGGCUAGCCCCAUCAUUUCCCCACCCAAUUGCCAUCCCCCCACUGCCUAACCAACGGUGCCAUUGCUGCCUCGUCCCACACUGCCCUUGUGCCCGCCGCCACUACUGGCCCAGCCUUCGCCCCCAACAAUAUUGUUAUACACGCCGAAUUUAGACACUGCAGGAUGCGUAUCAUCGGCUGUUCAGCCAAAGGAAAAAAAGAUCAGCAUAGCAGCUGGAGCUGAUGAGGCAGCUGUCCGGUUUGAUGCAUCGAUCCUGAGUUGUCAAUGGAUGGUCCAUGGGGAUGAGCAGCACCAGCAGGAGGGCCAUAGGGCACAUGCUCUGAUCUCAACAAAGGCACCAUGCCAUUAUGGAGCAGUACUGAAGAAG